rnacentral:rRNA from 1 species
AAAAGAACUCUGAAUAGAGAGUUAAAUAGUACGUGAAACUGCUUAGAGGUUAAGCCCGAUGAACCUGAAUAUCCAAUUUAGAGAAUUCAUCAUUAAUAUAUUAAUUAUUAUUAAUAUAAUGGUGUGCAUUUUCUCUAUAUAAUUGGACAUUGUAAUCUAUUAAUAUAUAAUAAUUUAUCAGAAGAUCAUAAGCAUACGUUUAUUUUUAUUAAUAUAGCUUUUAGCUAUUUUAUAAAAUAAUUGCUAUUGAUUUGAUAAAGUAUUGAUAGAUUUAAUCAUAUGUAUAAUGCUUAAAUUCAUUUAUGAAUUUUAUAAUAUAGCAAUAUAUUAUAAGCAUUUAUACGAUUUACAAUGCGAAAGAUUCAGGAUACCUUCGGGAC